UGAGGGAAAGCCCAGUGGUAGAGUGCAUGCCUAGCAUGCAUGAGGUCCUGGGUUCAAUCCCCAGUACCUCCA
rnacentral:tRNA from 1 species